rnacentral:rRNA from 1 species
UACGGAGGGUGCAAGCGUUAUCCGGAUUCACUGGGUUUAAAGGGUGCGUAGGCGGCUUACUAAGUCAUUGGUGAAAGCUCGCAGCUCAACUGCGAAACUGCCAUUGAAACUGUUUAGCUUGAAUGUGGUUGAAGUGGGCGGAAUACAACAUGUAGCGGUGAAAUGCUUAGAUAUGUUUUAGAACACCGAUUGCGAAGGCAGCUCACUAAGCCAAUAUUGACGCUGAGGCACGAAAGCGUGGGUAGCAAACAGG